rnacentral:rRNA from 1 species
UAUGGUAGUGCUGGUGUAAGCCCGUAGGGAGGGACAUAGGCAAAUCCGUGUCCCACAUAUCCUGAGAGGUGAUGCGUAGCCGUAGCGGCGAAAUCCAUGAUCCUAUGCUGCCGAGAAAAGCCUCUAGCGAGCUGGUACAUGGCCCGUACCCCAAACCGACACAGGUGGUCAGGUAGAGAAUACUAAGGCGAUCGAGAGAACUGUGGUUAAGGAACUCGGCAAAAUGCCCCCGUAACUUCGGGAGAAGGGGGACCAGUCCUGGUGACGACAUUUACUGUCUGAGCUGGGGUUGGUCGCAGAGACCAGAGAGAAGCGACUGUUUACUAAAAACACAGGUCCGUGCGAAGUCGUAAGACGAUGUAUACGGACUGACGCCUGCCCGGUGCUGGAAGGUUAAGAGGACCGGUCAGCCACUUCGGUGGCGAAGCUGAGAAUUUAAGCCCCAGUAAACGGCGGUGGUAACUAUAACCAUCCUAAGGUAGCGAAAUUCCUUGUCGGGUAAGUUCCGACCUGCACGAAUGGCGUAACGACUUCUCUGCUGUCUCAACCACAGACUCGGCGAAAUUGCAGUACGAGUAAAGAUGCUCGUUACGCGCGGCAGGACGAAAAGACCCCGGGACCUUCACUAUAGCUUGGUAUUGGUGUUCGGUUCGGUUUGUGUAGGAUAGGUGGGAGACUGUGAAACUCGCACGCCAGUGUGGGUGGAGUCAUUGUUGAAAUACCACUCUGACCGUAUUGGACAUCUAACCUCGGACCAUGAUCUGGUUCAGGGACAGUGCCUGGUGGGUAGUUUAACUGGGGCGGUUGCCUCCUAAAAAGUAACGGAGGCGCCCAAAGGUUCCCUCAGCCUGGCUGGCAAUCAGGUGUUGAGUGUAAGUGCACAAGGGAGCUUGACUGUGAGACGUACAUGUCGAGCAGGGACGAAAGUCGGGACUAGUGAUCCGGCACCGGCAAGUGGAAGCGGUGUCGCUCAACGGAUAAAAGGUACCCCGGGGAUAACAGGCUGAUCUUCCCCAAGAGUCCAUAUCGACGGGAUGGUUUGGCACCUCGAUGUCGGCUCGUCGCAUCCUGGGGCUGGAGUAGGUCCCAAGGGUUGGGCUGUUCGCCCAUUAAAGCGGCACGCGAGCUGGGUUUAGAACGUCGUGAGACAGUUCGGUCUCUAUCCGCCGCGCGCGUAAGAAACUUGAGGAAACUUGUCCCUAGUACGAGAGGACCGGGACGGACGAACCUCUGGUGUGCCAGUUGUUCCACCAGGAGCACCGCUGGUUAGCUACGUUCGGAAGGGAUAACCGCUGAAAGCAUCUAAGCGGGAAGCCUGUUCCAAGAUGAGGUUUCUCACCACCUAGCGUGGUUAAGGCCCCCCAC